GACGUAGGGCGCGAGCGUUGUCCGGAUUUAUUGGGCGUAAAGAGCUCGUAGGCGGCUUGUUAAGUGCAGGGUGAAAGCUCCCGGCUCAACUGGGAGAGGUCCUUGCAUACUGGCGAACUCGAGGGAGGCAGAGGAAAGUGGAAUUCCCGGUGUAGUGGUGAUAUGCGUAGAUAUCGGGAGGAACACCUGUGGCGAAGGCGGCUUUCUGGGCCUUACCUGACGCUGAGACGCGAAAGCGUGGGGAGCGAACCGG
rnacentral:rRNA from 1 species